rnacentral:rRNA from 1 species
CCGUACAUCCAGAGUUUGAUCAUGGCUCAGGACGAACGCUGGCGGCGUGCUUAACACAUGCAAGUCGAACGAUGAACCACUUCGGUGGGGAUUAGUGGCGAACGGGUGAGUAACACGUGGGCAAUCUGCCCUGCACUCUGGGACAAGCCCUGGAAACGGGGUCUAAUACCGGAUACUGACCCGCCUGGGCAUCCAGGCGGUUCGAAAGCUCCGGCGGUGCAGGAUGAGCCCGCGGCCUAUCAGCUUGUUGGUGAGGUAAUGGCUCACCAAGGCGACGACGGGUAGCCGGCCUGAGAGGGCGACCGGCCACACUGGGACUGAGACACGGCCCAGACUCCUACGGGAGGCAGCAGUGGGGAAUAUUGCACAAUGGGCGCAAGCCUGAUGCAGCGACGCCGCGUGAGGGAUGACGGCCUUCGGGUUGUAAACCUCUUUCAGCAGGGAAGAAGCGCAAGUGACGGUACCUGCAGAAGAAGCGCCGGCUAACUACGUGCCAGCAGCCGCGGUAAUACGUAGGGCGCGAGCGUUGUCCGGAAUUAUUGGGCGUAAAGAGCUCGUAGGCGGUUUGUCGCGUCGGUUGUGAAAGCCCGGGGCUUAACCCCGGGUCUGCAGUCGAUACGGGCAGGCUAGAGUUCGGUAGGGGAGAUCGGAAUUCCUGGUGUAGCGGUGAAAUGCGCAGAUAUCAGGAGGAACACCGGUGGCGAAGGCGGAUCUCUGGGCCAAUACUGACGCUGAGGAGCGAAAGCGUGGGGAGCGAACAGGAUUAGAUACCCUGGUAGUCCACGCCGUAAACGGUGGGCACUAGGUGUGGGCGACAUUCCACGUCGUCCGUGCCGCAGCUAACGCAUAAGUGCCCC